UACGGGAGGCAGCAGUCGGGAAUAUUGCGCAAUGGAGGAAACUCUGACGCAGUGACGCCGCGUGCAGGAAGAAGGUUUUCGGAUUGUAAACUGCUUUAGACAGGGAAGAAAAAAGACAGUACCUGUAGAAUAAGCUCCGGCUAACUACGUGCCAGCAGCCGCGGUAAU
rnacentral:rRNA from 1 species